rnacentral:rRNA from 9 species
CGGGAACUCAAAGGAGACUGCCAGUGAUAAACUGGAGGAAGGUGGGGAUGACGUCAAGUCAUCAUGGCCCUUACGAGUAGGGCUACACACGUGCUACAAUGGCAUAUACAAAGAGAAGCGACCUCGCGAGAGCAAGCGGACCUCAUAAAGUAUGUCGUAGUCCGGAUUGGAGUCUGCAACUCGACUCCAUGAAGUCGGAAUCGCUAGUAAUCGUGGAUCAGAAUGCCACGGUGAAUACGUUCCCGGGCCUUGUACACACCGCCCGUCACACCAUGGGAGUGGGUUGCAAAAGAAGUAGGUAGCUUAACCUUCGGGAGGGCGCUUACCACUUUGUGAUUCAUGACUGGGGUGAAGUCGUAACAAGGUAACCGUAGGGGAACCUGCGGUUGGAUCACCUCCUUACCUUAAAGAA